GGAUCACUGACCAAUCAGAAUCAAGAAGGGGCGGGACUUCUGAAAUCAACUUCGUCAUCAUCAAUAUCAGAAGUCCGCACAGAGGAGAAAGUAACAACUCUCGUUUUUUGAGUGGAAUUACAGAGGGCGGAUGGUGAGGAGGAGGAGGAGGAGUGUUCAAUUGGUGGACCAGCUGCAUGAGACCAUGAUCUACAGCAGUGUUUGCAGAGUGAUUAAAGGUUAUAAAAACGGGCCACAUGGAAGAUGAAGAAGAGAGUGGUUGUUGCACAAAGAUCUUACUCAUCAUGCAUGAUAGUCCUCAAAGGCCACCAUCGCUUCACUGACAGGAGGGGCUGCUGUGUUGUGCCUGAUUUGACUGUGACCAGAUGGACCAUAAUACCCCCUAGAACUGAACCAUUACAGGCCGGUAGGUGCUGUAGUUCUGGAGUCAAGGUAGACCCAGGAAGACGUCUUGAAGACCCUCAACUUUGUACAGGAAUUAAAGUAAUUUACAGCCAUUAAAAUGAUCCAAACUGAAAGACAGUGUUUGCAUUGCACCAAACAGAUGAAGUGGUAAAUUUGUCCACUGCAGGCUCCUGUAGCUCUUACCCAGACCAUGUGGUACACGGUGUAGAUGUCUCCCUCACAGGCGUACACCCUGAUGGCCCUCAGCGUGAAGCCGAACUUCUUCCCCGAGCUGUGAAUGAUGACUGGCUGCCGCGGGUUGGAAGUGCAGAGCGAGGAGGAGUCCCUGCUCGGCGAGGAGUCUCGAGAGGAAGGAUCCGAGGACAGGGAGUAAGGAGACAGGGGGCUGGCCAGCGGAGACACCCCGAAGAUAUCUGCAAGAAUAAGAGAUCACCAGCUCCUGAUUAGAGUCUUGAUUGAAUCAAUGGGAUCUGAGCGUCCCUGCGCUCGUAGCGAGGUGUUGCUCUAAAGCUCAUUCAUGCUGCUCCUGCUGAGGGUGAAGCUAAUGGGAUUUUCUCUCCCAGCAGUGAAGACCUCUCACUCCCACCCUCUACGCUUUCUUUCCUUGUUAGCGGCUCGCACUCGGCUACUUGCCUGCAGCCAAUCUGUAAAAUGGGACUCACAGCAGGUGUCGUGCCGGGCCAAUUUUGCACAGAUCCAUAGUGCGCUUUCAUCUCUUUCACAUGAUUUGUUCAAAGCCUGUUGCUCUUCUCCUCAUUCUUGUCACGUUGUUGCUUUGACAUACUUUUAACCUUCAAAAAAACGGGUUGGGAUCACUCCUUUGAGAGUGGGGAUCACUCCUUUGAGAGUGGGGAUCACUCUCAAAGUGUGUCUGAAGUGUUUGCUUUGACUCACCUCCAGGGAUCAGGAGCGACAGGGUCCCGGUAGAGAUGGACUUUGGGACUUUGGGGACAGCUCCGCUCCUCUCUGCAGCGCUCUCAGGUCGCAGAGAGCUGGUUUGAGUCACAUGGUCUGUGGAGGGGUGACUGGUGCAGUCGGGGCUCUCUAAACCUUCACCUCGGGGGGUCAGCUGGUCCAGAUGUUCUGAGAAGCUUCCUGAUGAUGACGAGAGAAGAGAGACGUCUAAUCAAACUUAAGAAGCUGCAUUCAGGGAGACUUUUUUGGAGCUUUACUGUGUUUAAAAUAUGACACCAAGUGUUUCUAGUACACAG